UACAGAGGUCCCAAGCGUUGUUCGGAUUCACUGGGCGUAAAGGGUGCGUAGGCGGUUGGGUAAGUCUGACGUGAAAUCCCGGAGCCUAACUCCGGAACUGCGUCGGAGACUACUCAGCUAGAGGAUUGGAGGGGGGGCUGGAAUUCUCGGUGUAGCAGUGAAAUGCGUAGAUAUCGAGAGGAACACCCGUGGCGAAGGCGAGUCCCUGGACAAUUCCUGACGCUGAGGCACGAAAGCUAGGGGAGCAAACAGG
rnacentral:rRNA from 1 species